UCGAGCUCAUUUGCCUAUAGUUGCUCACUGAACGCUGCUUUAAUAAGUUUUACCUAUUUCACUGCUGCCGCGACAGCUCCAACCCAUUGAAACGGAGACGUGUUGUGUCUAUCCUGUCGUAUAAAGAAAAAGAUUAAAGGUGCAGUACAAGAACAAGUCAGCAAGCAUCUCUGAGAGAAUUAUUUUCACUAGAUCGUUGCAUUGAAGGAUAGUUUGAACGGGUUUCUUUUUCCAAAACAGAACUAAGGUCAGAAAUGUCUGGAUUUACUGAACCAUCACAACCGCUCAUGUCAGUGAAGAAGGA